rnacentral:SRP_RNA from 1 species
GAUUUGGGUCUUACGCGGCGGGACUCUGUGAACCGUGUCAGGUCGGGAACGAAGCAGCACUAAGCAGAACCUCUCGGGUGCCGUAAGGUAGCCUGGGUUGAGU